AUCUAUACCCCUUCCUACUGCCUACAAGACCGAUGGAUUGUAACAGAACAACCACGCCUCCUUUUCUUUAUGCGGCGGAAAAUACCUCUGCACUCUCGACUUCCCUGUUUCAACGGAAAAACAAAUUAUCACAUUCCUCGUGUUGUAGUAAUCAUAUGAAACUUCUUGGGUAUAACACUCAGAUAUGAAAAUGGAAAGAAAGAAUUUUAAACAUCCGUGAUCUCUACUUCAUUACGUACCUUAGUCACUUUCUGGAAUAGACGAAGAAUGUAAAUUAAUUUUCGUAUGAAAUAACAUAACUUUAUUAUAUAAAUUUUUAUGAUAUACUACAAAACACAACAACCGCUCACAUAGCCCUCUUGAGUAACAAGAUAUUGCAUAUAGAGUUAUAUCUAACCGUUUUUAUGAAACGUGUGGUAGCUCAAGAAUUUCAUGUCUAAAUACAGAAGGAUUCAUCACGCAGAUUCAUCAGCCCCGUAUAAAUUAAAACAUGUGAAACGAAAAUUUUAUAAUAAUUACGUGUACUCAACAGACCUUCGUAACAUUAGUCACUACACCGUUCUCUUCUAAUUGUAUUCAGAAUAAAACGUGUAAAUAGCGUUCAAAAUGGAAUCGGACUGGAAUAACGACACCACAUACGGAACUGAGGAAAAGAACUGUAGCCAGGCGAAAGUGCAGUACGGGAGUAGUUUGGGUGUGGCCCUAGCAGUUCCUGAGUGGGAGGCUGCAGUAACAGCCCUCACGCUCACCUCCAUCAUCCUUCUCACCGUGGUUGGCAACAUUCUAGUUAUUCUAAGUGUCUUCACGCACAAACCGCUGAGAAUAGUUCAGAACUUCUUCAUAGUAUCACUGGCAGUUGCUGAUCUAACUGUAGCGUUAUUGGUAUUACCAUUUAGUGUUGCUGUUCAAAUUCUAGGACGCUGGGAAUUCGGUAUACACGUGUGUAAAUUGUGGUUAACUUGUGACGUACUUUGUUGUACUGCUUCUAUAUUAAAUUUGUGUGCCAUAGCUUUGGACAGAUACUGGGCAAUAACUGAUCCGAUUAACUACGCACAGAAACGAACUCUAAAACGUGUUCUUUUCAUGAUAGGAGUUGUAUGGGUACUCUCUGGAGUUAUCAGUUCUCCACCGCUCAUUGGUUGGAAUGACUGGCCAGAAGUAUUCCAUAAUGAUACCCCGUGCCAACUCACGUCCCAACAAGGAUACGUUGUUUAUUCCUCUCUUGGUUCCUUUUUUAUUCCACUGUUUAUCAUGACUGUUGUUUAUGUAGAGAUCUUCAUAGCAACAAAGAGGAGAUUAAGAGAGAGAGCUCUCGCGUCCAAACUAAAUGUUGUCAAAAUCAGCGAGGCACAAAACAUGUCCGGAAAGGUCGUGCACAAUGAUCAAGAUUCCGUAAGCAGCGAGACGAACCACAACGAACAUCCACAUCUCUGUGAUGGGAACACCAAGACAAAGGAAAAGAAAAAGAAAUCUAAGAAGAAGAGGAAGAAGAAUAUCGGUGAUGGUUCCUUGAAAGACAGAUUCCUUCAGAAGCCGAUCAUAGUAGCCGAAGAUUCCGUUACGGACAAUAUGGGAGAUCCUCCAUCGGGGUCACAGUGUGUUGACAGCUCAAAUCAUUGCGGUGAGGAGAAUCAGACGCCACCUACAAACACAACGACGACAGAAUCGCCCAAAUCAAGAAAUGAAUGUCAGAGAGGGAAUGCACCCCCUUCUGCAAUUUCAGCAUCAGUCCCCGUCCCGCCUUCUGGUGCCAAGAGGCAACUUCCAAUUUACCAGUUCAUAGAGGAGAAACAGAGGAUUUCGCUGUCGAAAGAACGGCGCGCCGCAAGAACACUGGGGAUUAUCAUGGUUCGAGAACCCAUCAUACUUGACGAGUGGUUUGAAGUGUUUCCAGGACAGACGAAACAGCUGUGCAGUUAGCAGGGGCAGUUGGCCUAUCUGUGACACAUUUCACGCAAACAUCCAUGUUGUUGAGCUGUCACUGCUCCCAGUCAGGCUAAGACUAUGAUAAAGCAGAAAUUCAGAGACUUCAGCUUAUGUAGUGUAAAUUGGGAUGUACUGAAGACAUCAUUUUCUGUGAGCUCUCAUUAAUGUCAGUACCACUACUUGCGAUGGAAAACUGCUAAUGAGCUCUGAAUUCUUCUGGUCAGAGUAGUUCUAGGAUGGAAACAUGAUUUCACAGAUGUCACUUCAGAUAGUAUACAAUGUGGUAAGUUGAACAAGUCCCUUUUAAGUUAGGAUUAAUGUUGGUAUGACCUCUUAUUCUUCAGGCAAGAACAUUGUUGAUGAGCAAACAUUGCAACAAAUCUGGUUAAAACCCUAUGGGAAACAUGAUUUCAGAGAUACCACAUCAGGUACUGUACAUUUGUGUCAACUGAAGGAAUCCAUCUUUAUGAGCUGUCAUUAAUGAUGAUAACAUGCCUUAUUUUACAGGAAACAACUAUGUUGAGUCUUAAUUGCUGCUUUUCAGGUUAAUGCAAUGAUGGAAACAUAAGUCACAGAUUUCACAUCACAUACUGUACAGUGUGGUGAUCUGAAUAAGUCAGCUUUAUGAAUUGUCAUUAAUGUUCUUAUCACUCAUUAUUUGCAGGUGACAAUGGUGUUUAUGAGACUUAAUGGGUAGCACUCAGUUUAAUAGUAGUUUGGAAACCUGAAAUCACAGUUUUAAUAUCAGGAAGGGUACAGCGAGGUCAGAUAAGGCAACCUUCCUUAUGAGCUGUCAUAAAGCUGAUACAACUUAUUUUACAGGGAACAACUGUGUUAAUGAGUCUUCAUUGCUGUCACACAGGAUAAAAUAUAUAUGAAGAAAAGCAUUCCAAAAUUUUUGAUUCUGGUAGUGUACAGUGUGGUCAGUUGAAAAAAUCACUAAGCUUUCAGGAAUAUAGGUACAACUUAUUUGCAUGAAAAGAUUAGUUCAUAACUGAAUUGCAGGUAGUCAGUAUAUUCCUAUGUUGAAACCAAGAAAUUAGAGAUUUCAUAUCAGGGAGUGUACAGUGGUCAAUUACAUAUGUCCUUUAUAAGGCGUUAUUAAUGUUGGCAUGAUCUUUUUCUUUAGAGGCAACACCAGUGUUGAUGAACCUACAAUUCUCCCACUCAGGGUAUUACAAUCCUCAAAAAAUAAAUCCAGUGAUUUCAUGUCAGGUAAUGUACAAUGUUGUAUGUAGAACAAGACAGUGUGAGCUGACAUUAUGAUUGGUGGGACCUCUCUUUCUUACAGGUAGCAUCAGUGUUGAUGACCCUUAAUUCAGGUUAACACAGUGGUGGAAGCAUGAUAUCAGAGAUUUGCAUCAGGUAAUGCACAAUGUUGUAUGUAGAACAAGCAAUUGUAAGCUGUCAUUAUGAUUGAUUUGACCUUUUAUUGUUACAGGGAACAUCAGUGUUGAUGAGACUUCAUUUCUCCCACUCGGGUUAACACAUUGUUGGUAGCAUGAAUUCAGAGAUAUCACAUCAGGGAACAUCAGUGUUGAUGAGACUUCAUUUUUCCCAGACAGGUCAACACAUUGUUGGAAGUAUAAAUUUGGAGAUUUCGAAUCAGGCAACAUGAGCAAGGCAGAUUGUCCAGUGGCCCAUGUGAAGAAAGGUUAAAUGGGAGCAUCAGUUCAGUGACAUGAAGGAAAGAGGACAGUGGCCAGUGUGAUGUGUAAAGGGGAGAAACUGUGGAAGGAGGCGAUGGCUUUGUGCAAGUCUUGCAGCAGAAAGCAAUUCAUGCAUGCAGACAAAUGCUCAGAAUUGUACCACACCUGUGGAGAUGACCAUGUUCCUCCAAAAGCUAAGUAUCUACCUACAUGAGUAGACAGUGUCACAACCCAGAAGACUUCAUUGUGAGCUUGCAAAUUGUCUGGGAAGAGGUAUGAGAGUUUGUGUUACUAGUGACACACAAAGUGAUAAAAUGAAUCUGUGUUCUUAGUGUAGAAUUGUGAAUCUAACAUAUGGUGAAGGAUUCACCCCUAAAGUGUGUGGCCCCUAAUGACUUUGCAUCACAUGAUCACACAGUGGCGCUAGCAAAUGCAACAGCUGCAAGUUAAAGUUCAGGCUGUUCAUCAUCCAUUAUUUGUGGUUUAUAAUUUUGGUCAGUAUUAUUCAUGUCUUUUCUACGGUGUUGUACGAAACAUAUUUUGCUGAGAGAUGAACGAUCUUAAUGGGAUGGUAAUGUUUUGCCAUGUGCAUUCACAAUUCUAAUGUAUGUGUCAGUAUUCUGGUCCACAGUGAAGGUAAAAUUGGUGACCUUUAUUGAACUGUUACUUUGUGUGUUCACAGGACUGGUGUGUGUCAUUUCUUUGGGUCUGGAAGGAACAUCAAGAUGCUGAUGGGUUAUCGGGUGAUAAAUUUAUAGCAGCGUAUUCAUUGAAACAUUUAAAAAUGUCAGGGUUUCAAACCCAGAUCCUGACCUACAUGAGUAACUGUGCAAAUGAGUAUUAUGCUGUGUGGAGAUUGAUAAUAACUUAAAUAUAACAGUGAAACUGUAUAAUAUUAACAUAUAUUAGCUUUUACCAAGUAAUUUUACUGUUUGUUGUAGACUGUGGCGAGAUGGUGGUGCAGCAGUGUCUUGUUUGAAAAUGAGCUGUCUCUUCACAUCCAUGAGGGGCUGAAGUGAUGGGUGGUCUUCCAUGUUCAUUGGACAUAUGCACAGCAAGAUCUUGCAGAGUUAAUAGAAACUUAAGGCGGAACAUGACUGUUUUCAGCAGGAUUAUAAAGAGAUGAUCCAAGACCUGAGAGGGAACAGUGUGCACGGAACUGAAAUACAGUGAAACCCUCAUCAGUGCUCUUUGAUGCGAGAUUAACCUCAGGUAAUUUUCGGUUUUGGUGAUGUGUCAGUAACCUCAUUGUCAAAUUACAUGCAUGCAAGAAUCCACUUCUUGGCAAAGAGACCUUAAAUAGGGGAUUCACUGUAUGCAGACCUGCAUCUGUAUGCCAUUGUAACAAUCACCAAUCACAGAAACAUGCUUCCCUGUUGACAGUCAUAUGUCACGGGAAGCCUGGAUGAGGAUUUCCGCACUGGAAGAAGUGCAGCAGUUGAGUAAGAGGUUCAUCUGUCAGCGCUACAGAUGGUGGGAUGGGUAAACUACUGCAUCGUUCUCCGCCACAAGAUACCAGUCUUGCAACUAGCCUUAGAAAUGUAUGUCUGAUAAAUAUAGAUCAAUAUCUCUUCAGGUAUCAUUAUUAUGAUGCUUGAAGUGUCAGUUGGUGUAAAUGAAUGACCUGUGUUUGAAUUAUAUGUAAGAAAUUUAGAUUUAUUUUAUCCAAAAGAAAAAUGGGUACUGGAGGGGGGGGUAUUCAUUUAGAUGGCAAAGGAAGAAAAUGAUUUCAGCCUAGUACAGUAUGUCAAUAUUCAUGGUAGAAGUAUAUGCCAUUAACCAUGUGUGGACCAAGUUUUUGAACAGUUUGAGGCAAAAUACAAAUUAUAACAGAAUGUAGUCUAACUUAAUGUAACCUGCCCUAAUCUAACAUAAUCAAAGCUAACAAAACUAACCUGAGCUAACAUGUCGAGGAAAGUACAUAUACGUCCGUAGAACAGAAAGUGGGUAUACUUACUGCCAUGAGCUUUAUGAAUUAUUUAGCCUAUUGGUUUGUAUGAGGUUCACUCUGCACUAUACCUCACCAUGCACAUUAGCACGCUGUAGGGUAGUGAUUAAGGCAUUAUGCUACAAGUCAGAAGGUCAUGGGUUCAAAUACCGAUGAGGUCACUGGAUUUUUUUCAGUU